rnacentral:rRNA from 1 species
GACGAACGCUGGCGGCGUGCCUAAUACAUGCAAGUAGAACGCUGAAGAGAGGAGCUUGCUCUUCUUGGAUGAGUUGCGAACGGGUGAGUAACGCGUAGGUAACCUGCCUGGUAGCGGGGGAUAACUAUUGGAAACGAUAGCUAAUACCGCAUAAAAUGGAUUAUCGCAUGAUAAUCCAUUGAAAGGUGCAAAUGCAUCACUACCAGAUGGACCUGCGUUGUAUUAGCUAGUUGGUGAGGUAACGGCUCACCAAGGCAACGAUACAUAGCCGACCUGAGAGGGUGAUCGGCCACACUGGGACUGAGACACGGCCCAGACUCCUACGGGAGGCAGCAGUAGGGAAUCUUCGGCAAUGGACGGAAGUCUGACCGAGCAACGCCGCGUGAGUGAAGAAGGUUUUCGGAUCGUAAAGCUCUGUUGUAAGAGAAGAACGAGUGUGAGAGUGGAAAGUUCACACUGUGACGGUAUCUUACCAGAAAGGGACGGCUAACUCCGUGCCAGCAGCCGCGGUAAUACGGAGGGUGCGAGCGUUAAUCGGAAUAACUGGGCGUAAAGGGCACGCAGGCGGUUAUUUAAGUGAGGUGUGAAAGCCCCGGGCUUAACCUGGGAAUUGCAUUUCAGACUGGGUAACUAGAGUACUUUAGGGAGGGGUAGAAUUCCACGUGUAGCGGUGAAAUGCGUAGAGAUGUGGAGGAAUACCGAAGGCGAAGGCAGCCCCUUGGGAAUGUACUGACGCUCAUGUGCGAAAGCGUGGGGAGCAAACAGG